AAGUCGUAACAAGGUAUCCGUAGGUGAACCUGCGGAUGGAUCAUUACCAAAGGAAGAAUUCCUGACGUUGUGUGAAUUGUAUAGAGGAACUGUGGUCGGCCUGGGCGGCAGCUUGGGCCGGCGGUAGACGGACGUACUUGCUGUGACUACUGAAUACUUGCAUAGUAAUGUAAAGACAACUUUUAGCAACGGAUCUCUUGGCUCUC
rnacentral:misc_RNA from 1 species